GAUUUUAAGACUUGGUAUUUUUAACAACUAGUAAACUGUGUAAACUCGCUUAUUCACAUAAAUUUUACCCAUUCGUCUUGGCAUUGAGUCAUUCAAUUGCUGAUAAGUUUCCGUUGGUAUAGCGUACCAUUCCUUUUAAGCUGCUUCCCACAAUCGAUCCUUAUUUGUGAAAUUUUGAUCGAAUAACUUCUUUUUAAGUACAUUCCGUAGAUUUUCUACGGAAUUGAUGACAGGAGAUUGGCAGGGUCCGAAAUUAUAGUCACUUUAUUAUCCCGAAAUCAUUCCUUUAAAUAUUCCGAUGUGUGUUUUCGAUCAAUAUCUUGCUGAAACUGCCAUGUAAAGGCACGUUAUCUUUGGGAUAAAACUGCAUGACAUCCUUUAGGAUGUCCAUCCUUUAGCCUUGCAUUCGAAUCUUGCCAUUAUAGUGAUGUUGUGAAAAAUAGGACCUGCGCCAUUCCACGAAAAGCAAGGCCCAAUCCUCAUUGUUCUCGCUCCCGUGCUUUACCAUACUUUGCGUGUGUCGCAGAUUAAACUCUAUGCACUUUGGACGUUUAACGUUUCUUUGUGCAUCGGAGAAAAACAGAUUUGUCUUCGGUUCGGCCCUCCGAAGGAUAUGUUGCCAUUUAUUGAUUCCUUCCGAACCAAGCCCAUUAACACUGUUAAAAAGCAAAUUGCAUAUUUCUUCGAAGGCUUUUGCUUCGCAAUAGUGGACCCUUCUUAGCAAUUCUUUCUGGAAGAUUGGAAUUUUACGGCCUACUGCGAACUGUUCUCGGACCUACCACUUUUCCAAUCUGUAACCACCGGUUACGACAGUUGUUAGUUGGCUUUGCCAAAUUGAUAAGUGUCGCUAGGUUUGCUCAUUCCCUUUCCCAAUCCCUAACUCCUACUCUGUGUAAAACAUCAAAAUGUGUGAGUGAUGGCCUUCCAAGUCCAGGUUGUCAUCUGAGACGGGUGGGUCACUCACGCAGAAGGGUUGCAGGCGCUCACCCAAGGUGUCUCAUCACAACGGUGUGAGCAUAACGUAGCGCAACAUGCUAUCCAUCGCUGUCGCAGCCAUUGGAAGGGCUGCCAAGGUUUUGACAAUUUAAAUGUCAGUUCGGAUGAUAUUGCAAAAAUUGAGGUUUUUCGGUAUCAUCCGAGCUGAGUUAGGCUCGGCGGUCGCCGAGAUAGUUCUUUCGGUUCUCGACAUUCGAGGAAGUCAGAAGUGCGCGCGGUUUUUGCUCAUUAUUCAAUGUGAUUUUUCUUGUACAGUUUAAGUGGUGUAUUGUGUGAAUAAUGUUCUUUUUUAGUUUUAGAUAUAGAUAGAUUAGAUUAAAAGUAAAAGUAAACGGUUAUAGUACGUGUCACAAAACGAAGAAAAAACGAAGAAAUUGAAAAGCACGAAUCCCAUACAAAUUAAAAUCAAGUUGAAAAGGUCCACAGCGGGCCUUUUUUUCUCUGGCUUCGGACUACGUCCGAAGGGUUUCUUCGCAGGAAGCACGCCAAACAGAAAUCCUCAAAGCGAACCGAUUAGAGAACCGAGAGUCCUUGCUGAAGAACCCUAGAUCCGACGCGCUGGGGAGAUUCGCCGCCAUUUUUGGCAACUCCGCCAGUGUGCUAACGCCGCCAUUGUUAUUGACGGUGUACAAUUACGAGGUCGGCAGGUUUGUCGCCUUCAAAGUUCCGGACCGUUUUCCUGCCACCAGCGAACCCAGAUCCACCAGAAUUUGCCAUGGCUGUAAUAGUCAGCCGCACAACCACUGUAAACUUGCACCAGAUAAAAAGAUCCGCAAGUAGCUAAAUCGUGACGUCACAUAGCAUUAAGUUUAGUUAGGGUAUGGUAAUAAAUUGUAUGUAUAAAUUAAAAUUCUGUACCAUCUGUAUAUUCUCGUAUAACAUUGUCCGUACAAUAACACCACUACUUUGAAUCGGUUUCCGGACUCGAAAGGAGUCGUCAGUCCUCGUCCUAGGAUGUUUCCGCUGAAAGAGCAUUCACGGUAUCGCUUUUGAGCAUAUUAAAAUAUUGCUUUACCUUUUUAGUUGUUCACCUUGGUUGCAGCAGCGAUUGAUGGUCCGGUUUCCCCUGUUCCCGAAGUGAAUGAGUUCCGUGGUGAGUACAACUAAAACCCUGAAUGUAUACCAGCAGUAGAGAGCAUAAUCCCCCUCCAACCACCCACUGAGCAAGUCGAGGGGCUACAAAUUGGCGCCCAACAUAACAACCCACAGUUAGAUUUUUUUUUCAAAAUCCCUACGGAGGGAGUACAAAACAGAACGCUGUUUUAUUAGGUUAUUUUCGUCCUCUGAACGAAAGUAUACAGUUUUUCGGAA